AUACGUAGGGAGCGAGCGUUGUCCGGAAUUACUGGGUGUAAAGGGCGUGUAGGCGGGUAUUUAAGGCAGUUGUGAAAACCUGGGGCUCAACCCCAGGCCUUCCAUUGAAACAGGGGAUCUUGAGGGGUGGAGAGGAAAGCGGAAUUCCUAGUGUAGCGGGGAAAUGCGUAGAUAUUAGGAGGAACACCAGUGGCGAAGGCGGCUUUCUGGACACUAACUGACGCUGAGGCGCGAAAGCGUGGGGAGCAAACAGGAUUAGAUACCCUGGUAGUCCACGCUGUAAACGAUGAUUACUAGGUGUGGGAGGUAUCGACCCCUUCCGUGCCGAGUUAACACAAUAAGUAAUCCACCUGGGGAGUACGAUCGCAAGAUUGAAACUCAAAUGAAUCGACGGGG
rnacentral:rRNA from 1 species